GUGCUCUCUUCCACAGCACAUAUACUAAAAUUGGAAUAGAGAAGAUUAGCAUGGCCCCUGCACAAGGAUGACAUGCAAAUUCAUGAAGUGUUCCAUAUUAAA
rnacentral:snRNA from 1 species